rnacentral:rRNA from 1 species
CUCCGCCGGCGACCGGCGCACGGGUGAGUAACACGUAUGCAACCUGCCCCUGUCAGGGGGACAACCCGCCGAAAGGCGGGCUAAACCCGCGUACAUGCCACCGGGGCAUCCCGGAGGCAGGAAAGGCUUCGGCCGGACAGGGAUGGGCAUGCGGCGCAUUAGGCAGUAGGCGGGGUAACGGCCCACCUAACCGACGAUGCGUAGGGGUUCUGAGAGGAAGGUCCCCCACACUGAUACUGAGACACGGACCAGACUCCUACGGAAGGCAGCAG